UUAGAUACAAUUGUUCGGCUGUCU
rnacentral:siRNA from 1 species